rnacentral:rRNA from 1 species
AAAAACUUCUAGUUAGUUUUUUUAGUGCCCGUACCCCAAACCGACACAGGUGGACAAGUAGAGAAUACUAAGGCGAGCGAGAUAACUCUGGUUAAGGAACUCGGCAAAAUAGUUCCGUAACUUCGGGAGAAGGAACGCCCAAGUAAAGUGAUUAAUUAACUUUAUGAGCUUGAACGGGCCGCAGUGAUCAGACUCAAGCGACUGUUUAUCAAAAACACAGGAGGGUGCAAAGUUCUAAUACAACGUAUACCCUCUGACACCUGCCCGGUGCUGGAAGGUUAAGUGGAGAGGUUAGCUUCGGCGAAGCUUUGAAAUUAAGCCCCAGUAAACGGCGGCCGUAACUAUAACGGUCCUAAGGUAGCGAAAUUCCUUGUCGGGUAAGUUCCGACCUGCACGAAUGGUGUAACGAUUUGAGUACUGUCUCAACCAGAGACUCGGCGAAAUUGCAAUGUGAGUAAAGAUGCUCACUAUGCGCGACAGGACGGAAAGACCCCGGAACCUUUACUGCAACUUGAUAUUGAAGUUUGGUGUGCAGUAUGCAGGAUAAGUGGGAGACUAUGAAAUAGCGGCGCUAGUCGUUAUGGAGUCAUCCUUGAGAUACCACUUUCUUCAUAUUGAGCUUCUAACCUAGAUCCGUUAUCCGGAUCAGGGACAUUGUCUGGUGGGCAGUUUCACUGGGGCGGUGGCCUCCUAAAAAGUAACGGAGGCGCUCUAAGGUCACCUCAGCGUGGACGGCAAUCACGCAUCGAGUGUAAGUGCAAAAGGUGGCUUGACUGUGACACAAACAAGUGGAGCAGGUACGAAAGUAGGAACUAGUGAUCCCAUGGUUGCAUGUGGGUGCGCCAUGGCUCAUCGGCUAAAAGGUACUCCGGGGAUAACAGGCUUAUACCCCCCAAGAGUCCAUAUCGACGGGGGUGUUUGGCACCUCGAUGUCGGCUCUUCUCAUCCUGGGGCUGGAGCAGGUCCCAAGGGUUAGGCUGUUCGCCUAUUAAAGAGGAACGCGAGCUGGGUUCAGAACGUCGUGAGACAGUUCGGUCCCUAUCCGUCGCGCACGCAAGAGUUUUGAAGAAAGUUGUCCCUAGUACGAGAGGACCGGGAUGAACGAACCGCUGGUGUGCCAGUUGUCCUGCCAAGGGCACGGCUGGUUAGCUACGUUCGGAAAGGAUAAGCGCUGAAAGCAUCUAAGUGCGAAGCCCCUUCUAAGAUAAGAACUCUCACCGGAUUAACCGGGUAAGACUCCUUAUAGAACAUGAGGUUGAUAGGUCAGAAGUGUAAGUACAGUAAUGUAUUCAGCUGACUGAUACUAAU